UUAGCAGUGACUGGGAAACCCUGCAUUGAGUCCUGGACAUUGAAUACAAGCUUAGCCUGCAAUCCCAGCACUCCGGAGGUGGAGGCAAAAAGUUCAAGAAAUUCAAGGAUAUUCUCUGCUAGUCUGGGUUACAAGAGUCACUGAAUUUACCUAUAUACAUGCAUGCAUGCAUGCAUGCAUACAUACAUACAUACAUACAUACAUACAUACAUACAUACUUGUCUUGAGCUAGCCCGGAGUAGGGCCACAUAGUUUGUUAAAUAGCCUUGAUUGCUUGUAGUAGCAGCUGACUCCUUGCUGAGGACCAAAGCCUUCUAUGAUAGGCUUCAGUUAGAGCGACAGGGAAUGGUUACUUCGGGUUGAUCAAAGCUAGGCUAGAACAAGGGAGUAAGGUCCACAAGUCAUCAUGCUUUAUGAGGCUGAGGUAGGUGGUCCUGGGAUAGUCCUCCCACACAAAGGUCCUGUUUCCUGCCUCAAGAUGUUGCACUGCCUCCUGGUUAUUAUUAAUCUGCCCUGUGUUCUUGGCCUUGUGCUGAAUAUGGGGAUCCCGAGGUGAAUGUUUCCGCAGUGAGAGAGGCAGCCCUGGGUAAUAAGUCCCUGAGGGGUGGCUAUUCCGAGCAAGCCCAGAACAGGCAAGCUUGUGUGGAGGCGUGUGCGUCUCAGGACGCCCUGGAGGAACUUUGUAGCUCCUGAUUUCCCGACUCCUCGACCCUGGCCCAGUGGAAGCUGGGCGAGGCAGGUUGCGGGCCCUCAAGCAGCCGAAGCAGGGAGGCUGAACGCGCUGGCCAGGCCCUUGGUGGGCUGUUCAGGGUGCGCGCCGAGGGGGUGGGAACGCGGAGCGUGUGAGUCACCGUUUCUGGGCCAGGCAGGCGGCGACUGCGGAGCGGGGGGCGCAUUCCUGGCUGGCAGGGCGGCCGGCACUAAUGUCUUUCCCACAUGGCCCCGAGUUCCCCGCUCGGCACGAUCACACGGGCAAGACGCUCCCGCGGCCACCCCCGCCCCAGCUGCCUCCUUCCCACAGAACCGUGGAGGGGGAGGGCGGCGACGAGGCGAGUGCAACUGGGCCUCCCGAGGUGGCCGGGGCUCUCGCACGGUGCCAGGCACACUGGGAGCCACGGAGGCCGGGACUCCCAUGGAUUCUUGGCCAGUCUCAGUCCACCCUUUCCCCGCCUGCACACAGCGGGGUGUCGGAGAAGCACUGGCGGCGAGAUCCCCAGUAACUUCGCCCCCUGAGACUGCCGCUGCCGUCACCUCCUCCUCUUCUUCCCGUCCUGUCCUCUGGGCCAAGCUCUAAGCUAGGGCUGUUAAGCUGAAACGCAUCCGGAAGGGUCUGGGGAGGGUGGUUCCUGGAAGAGGCCACACCCAGUGCCUCAUUCCUUGGGUUGGAGGACAGCCCUUGCCAAGGCCAAAGGGACUGUGAGCACUGCUUCCCACGCAGUUCUUGUCCCUGGGCCAGGCCCCUAGGGGGAAACUGAGGCUGCGAGGGCGGCCCACCCAGAGCUCCCUGUCUGCUGGGGGAAGUUGGCGGUUGUCCCUCCAGCUGGGCUCAGAAGCGCUAAUGAGAGUUAAAUGUAGGGCGUGAGUCACCUCGGAAAGGGGGAUGGGACCACCCUCAGAUGUGAAGGGUGAAUAGCGUUUGCCAUACUGCUAAUCCCCACCCCUAAACCCCACUUCCCCCUACACCACAUCCCUUAGCCCUUGGGAAGGUAACUCUGUCAUCCUGGGCCAGCCUUCCCGAAAAGAUGGCUAUCUCAGAAGUAUGGGCUGUGGGGCCAUAGAGAGACUCCACAUCUAGCACCUGGGAUCGCAGGACUGUACUUGAUCCAAAUGCUAAGGAGCUGCAGAAUCCCAGAAAGGUCUCUGCUGCCCUGGCAAGCCCAAUUCAACAUCAUUAGCUCUAGACGGGCCUGCCGGCUGGUCCCAUAUCCUGGAGCUGGCCCCAAUUGCUUUGCUUCCUGAAAUUGACAUCCAUACCUAAAUCCUGGCUAAAAGGUGGGGUGCACUUGGCCAUGGUCUUCCUCUUGGAAGACUGGCCUUCUUGAGCGCCAGUCAGGGCUGGUAAUGCUGUAAAUUGCCCAAAUGGAGAGGAAAGAGUUCAACUAAGGCUGAAAGUGGAUGACAGCAUCAGGUGGGCCCAUGGAGACAUCCAAGGGCCCCUCACCACACCUUGCAACUUGGGAGCCUUCCUACAGCAUCGCCAUAUAGAGGCUCUGGAUGUUGUCUAACAGCUGAGCUCUGAGAGGUAGUAUGUCGUCCUUAGCUUGCUGGUGCAAGAGUCAUGCAAGGUCCAGGGUCUGGCCAUGAGACUGAGGUAGGUUGUCACUGAUAGGUACUGAGUGCCUCCACAUGUAUGUACGUAAUCAUACAUGCACAUAUCAUACACACAUGCACGCAUGCAUACAUGCAUAUACACAAUGGCUUACAUACACACCCAUAUGUACUGAGAUUGCUGGCAUGCCCAUAUCUAGCUCUCACUUCCAUAUGUCAUCACUCUCAGGGGAGGAGAACACAGCCCAUCUCAUGUGAAAUUAUAAUCUACUUUGGAACUAUGAAGGGAAGUCCCAGAAAAGGGACUUUCCUCACUCCAGCUGCCUUGGGCUCUAGGGGGGUUCUUCCUACCUCUGAUUCUGGGCUACAUUGAUUGGUUCUGAAAUAGACAUGUGACUUGGGUCUAGCCAAUCAGGCUGAAUCCCAAGGCUUUAAUUGAGGGACUCCUCUGAUUUAGCAGUUGGGGAUUUUGGGGACCACUGCCUUGAUUUAUUUUAUUUUAUUUUUUUCCAGACAGGAUUUCAUGCUCCCCAAACUGUCCUCAAACUUGAUAUAUAGCCAAGGAUGUCCUUGAAACACUCAUCUAUUUGACUCUGCCCAACUCAUGCUACCAUCGUGGGCGCGAGGAACACAUCAGGAUUCACCAUCAGCACCUUGGAAGAGCUCUGUCCAACAAGCCAGCAAAGAAAGCUGACCUUGGGCUGGUGUAGAUGAGUGGGUAGUGCACUUGCAUAAGGCUUUAGGGAUUGCAUCUGCAGUACCUUAAGAAAUAUUAUCGAGUCUUGGAGUAACCCAGUUGGUUGGCAUUUUGUUUGAGCUAUCUGUGCUGCGGUUCUGCAUUUGCAGUCUGAGGAUCUGCCAAGAUAGUACAGGCUGUGCCCAGUUCUCCCUCUAAGACUUUAUCCAUGUAUCUCUGCCUGGAAGUGGGCUGCCUUUCUCUCAUUCUACCCUGACCAGCCCAACAUGGGUGUGGGAGGGCAGCUUGUCAGACCUUCUCCAGGAAGCUCACUGCCCUCUGUUCCUUCCUUCUCUCUGGGCUACACUCUCAGAGAGUCACCUGGAACGUCUCACACAAGCCUGACACUCCGUGUCUAUGCCAACUUUGCUGACUUUGCUUUCUGUCCCAGCACCCAGAAGAAUUAGGAAGAUCAUGUACAAGUUCCAGAGCAGAAUGGGCUAUAGAGUAAGACACUGUCCUCAAGAUAAAUAAAUAAAUGUCCCUUUUUGGAGGGCCUUCUACAUCAGAGA